rnacentral:rRNA from 1 species
UACGUAGGGGGCGAGCGUUGUCCGGAUUUAUUGGGCGUAAAGCGCGCGUAGGCGGCCUGUUAAGUCGGGUGUGAAAACCCGGGGCUCAACCCCGGGCCUGCAUUCGAUACUGACAGGCUAGAGGCAGGCAGGGGAGAUCGGAAUUCCCGGUGUAGCGGUGAAAUGCGUAGAUAUCGGGAGGAACAUCAGUGGCGAAGGCGGCCUUCUGGUCCAGUACUGACACUCAAGUGCGAAAGCGUGGGGAGCAAACAGG